AUGUCUGCGUGAGUAAUACGUUUUUGAAGGGGAAAAGCUUGUAAAAACUAGUUUUUGGAGUAUCUAAACACCUCUCCAAACAAAGGAAAACAUCCUGGAUUUUAAGCAGUAUAUGGUAUUAUUUACUUAUGUCUUGAUUUUAGAUUGAAACUCCACCUGAAACAAAAAUGCUAAUAACCACAUCUGUUUAAGGAGUGAUGUUUGUUACUAAUUCUAUUUGUAUUUAAAAGGUUUCUAGUUCAUUUUUUUGGAGGGGAUUACUAUAUAGUUCUAUGGAAGAGAUUACAUUAAAAUGAAAAAAAAAAAAAAAAGUAGCAACAUCUCAUCCUUCUGCUCUAAAUCAGGAAGACAAUGCAGUGAAUGCCAGGUAUGGAGGACUCGAGGGAGCCAAAUGACCAAAUUAGUCAUGGCUAAAAACCUAGAAUUCAAGGUCAUUUCUAAAUGUACUGUUAUAAUCUUAAAAUCAAAGCCUGAAUUAAAGUUUGCAGUGAUUUUUUUUUUUCUGUCAAAGUAAGGAGGUUUAUAAUAAGUUACACUUGUUUUUAACUGAAUUUUUAAAACUUUAACAUAAAAAAAGUAUGAAGGUAUCUGGUCUAUUACAUUAUUUGUGUAGUUCUUAGUAAUUGCACUCCAUAAAUCAAAAUCAUUAACUAUAACUUCAAAAAUUUGUGUCCUUUGAUAAGAUUAGUAAAAAAUAAACAUACAAACAAAGAUAUGUAAAAAAAAAAAAA